rnacentral:rRNA from 1 species
GGGCGGUCUCCUCCUAAAGAGUAACGGAGGAGCACGAAGGUUGGCUAAUCCUGGUCGGACAUCAGGAGGUUAGUGCAAUGGCAUAAGCCAGCUUGACUGCGAGCGUGACGGCGCGAGCAGGUGCGAAAGCAGGUCAUAGUGAUCCGGUGGUUCUGAAUGGAAGGGCCAUCGCUCAACGGAUAAAAGGUACUCCGGGGAUAACAGGCUGAUACCGCCCAAGAGUUCAUAUCGACGGCGGUGUUUGGCACCUCGAUGUCGGCUCAUCACAUCCUGGGGCUGAAGUAGGUCCCAAGGGUAUGGCUGUUCGCCAUUUAAAGUGGUACGCGAGCUGGGUUUAGAACGUCGUGAGACAGUUCGGUCCCUAUCUGCCGUGGGCGCUGGAGAACUGA